AAGGUAGCGAAAUUCCUUGUCGGGUAAGUUCCGACCUGCACGAAUGGUGUAAUGAUCCGGACGCUGUCUCAACCAUGAGCUCAGUGAAAUUGUAGUAUCGGUGAAGAUGCCGAUUACCCGCGAUGGGACGAAAAGACCCCGUGAACCUUUACUACAGCUUAGCAUUGACCUUGGUCAUCCGAUGUGUAGGAUAGGCCGGAGGCUUUGAAGCGGGAGCGCCAGCUUUCGUGGAGCCAUCCUUGAAAUACGGCCCUUUGGCUGUCUGAGGUCUAACGCGCGCUGCGCGGACACUGCUUGGUGGGUAGUUUGACUGGGGUGGUCGCCUCCAAAAGCGUAACGGAGGCUUCCAAAGGUGCCCUCGGGUCGAUUGGUAACCGACCUCAAAGAGUGCAAUGGCAUAAGGGCGCUUGACUGGGAGGCAGACAUGCCGAGCAGGCAGGAAACUGGG
rnacentral:rRNA from 1 species